ACGAACGCUGGCGGCGUGCUUAACACAUGCAAGUCGAACGGAAAGGCCCUGCUUUUGUGGGGUGCUCGAGUGGCGAACGGGUGAGUAACACGUGAGUAACCUGCCCUUGACUUUGGGAUAACUUCAGGAAACUGGGGCUAAUACCGGAUAGGAGCUCCUGCUGCAUGGUGGGGGUUGGAAAGUUUCGGCGGUUGGGGAUGGACUCGCGGCUUAUCAGCUUGUUGGUGGGGUAGUGGCUUACCAAGGCUUUGACGGGUAGCCGGCCUGAGAGGGUGACCGGCCACAUUGGUACUGAGAUACGGCCCAGACUCCUACGGGAGGCAGCAGUGGGGAAUAUUGCACAAUGGGCGGAAGCCUGAUGCAGCAACGCCGCGUGCGGGAUGACGGCCUUCGGGUUGUAAACCGCUUUCGCCUGUGACGAAGCGUGAGUGACGGUAAUGGGUAAAGAAGCACCGGCUAACUACGUG
rnacentral:rRNA from 1 species